AAAUCUAUAAGCGUCGCGUGGUUAAUGCAAUUGGAUUUAUGCAGAGGGUUACAUAUUGGCUCAAUAACCGUACCUGGAAAGAUCGUCCGGCAAACCGUCCUAACGAAAUCAUAGUAUCGAAAAUGUUUAUUCGAGCUCUUGCAGUAUUUGCUAUUGUAGGAUGCAGCAAUCUUGCAAGUGGUCAGUUUGGCCUUGAACAAUGUUCCAGUUACACGACUGAUAUUCAAACUUGCGUGAACACUUAUCCUAUUGGAAUAACGGGUGCAGCGGCUUUGAAUAUUUUCGGUCAAAAUUCAUCGAUGUGUGGUGUUAUCUCAAAAUACAAAAAAUUGAUGAACUGUAUAGUGGAUGCAACUUUAAAAUGUCUAACAGAUGAUUACAAGACACUCUUCCCAUCGGCAGAAAAGUAUGCGUCAGCCUUAACUUAUUUCUGUGACCGAAUUGAUACUUUUGAUUCAACAUGCUUUAUCGAAAGCGUUUCAGAAAUUGCCACAUGCUUAUCAAAAAAUAGUCCUACUGCAUUGGGUGCGGAUGCGGCAUUUGACGAAUUCCAAACCUAUUAUUGCGCCACAUUAAAUACAGGGAUUGACUGUUAUACAAAGAGUACAAAAUUAAGCUCAUGUGAAGAUACUCGCACAACAUUAAUUGAGGUAUCCAAGAUGAUAACACCGGCGGCUUGUGGCACCAUCAGGGUAGUUUCACACAUGCUUUUACUAAUGCUAUCGGUGAUAUUUUCAAAGUAUAUUUGCCACUAAGGGGAGGUACGGUAGGGACUAUGGUUAUUAAUUAUUAGCUCGGAAAAUAUUUGAUUUAUAAUUAAGUUAGUAAAAUAAGAAUGAUUUUUUUUCAAAAGGACUUACAACAGGAAAUGAUAUUCUAAAACUAAAGUAAUUGUGUGAUUCGAAUUUGGACGUCGAAUAAAAAGAAGGCAUUGGGUAUAGGUACCCGGCUAAUUAUUUUAUAAAACUGAGCAACUUUGGAAAUACAACGUAUGUGACCAUAGUCCAGAAUAAUAAGCCUUACUACAAAUGUUUCUACUGUAAUUUCUAUUUUUUUAUAUUAACAUUUAAUUUUAUUAAUAGUAUCCUAAAAUUUGUUUUUUUACGAGCAAUGCGGUUUUUAUUGGCCAGCAUUUCAUGUGGGUGUAUAUUGUCGUGUACCAAUUUCGUAAGUCCACUCUUAAUUCUUGUAAAUGCUCCAGGAGUAAAUUUGAAACUUUCUGGAAUUUAUCAAGAUGGCCUCUAUCGGAAUUUAUGCCCUUGUCGAUGUAAAUGCGUUUGACGCAAAUUAGAAAUAAACAUUUGCUUAGAAAAUGGGUUGAAGUUAUCUGAUUCUCUAAACAAAACUCCUUUGAAUUGCAGCCAAUCGUAUAAAAGUAAUAGGUAGGCUGAAAUCUGAGUGCCAUGUACGUAUGUCUGUCCUGAAUUAAGACAUGUGCUUGUAAACAUUUUACAGCCCUUGGAGUAUUCGUCAUACUAGAGAACCUUACCGAAAUUUAGAGUUGCUCUCCAAAUUUAUACAUUUUUUUGCCUCUGUCACCGCAACUGUUCCACAUCUAAGAGGGUAUGGGAUGUUUUUUUACCAUACUUCUGGCAUUGUUUGUCUUGCGUGGUUAUAGCUCCUGAAAACUUGGAUGACACCCUUUAAUGUGCUGCAUGUGGGAGUGUAUUGGUUGCCUGGGAACGUUAUGCUGAUAAUGGAAGUAAUGCAACACCUCUCGAGAAAAGGCAUGGGCAAUAUUGCAGAUAACUAAAUUAAUUUGUAUGGCGGGGGUUUUAAAAUUAUUAUUAUUAUAAUACUAUUUUCAGAAAGAAUAAUAUUAUAGUUUGUAUGUCUUAAUGAAUACAUGUAUAUCUAAUUGUUGGUAAUAAUAUCGUUCCUAACUAUGUAAUCAAAGAAAAUUAACUAACCACACUACUUUGGAUAUUUCCAUAAGAUAGAAAUAAACUAAGAUUACCCGCUGAGCCAAAGUUUAAAAGUAAUACAUGCACUUGCUAUAUUCCUUAGCUCAUAUGAUUUGAAAAAUCUCCAUCCUGGGUUAUUUCAUUGACACGGUGAAAGGAAUUGAAGGAGCUUAGAAACUAUGGUUCAACUAUUAUCGGACAUGGAAAUUUUGACUAUUUUCCGUAAUCAAUAAAUAUGUAUGGUAUAUUCUCAAUUAAAAUUACAUAAAAAAAUUAUUUUCUUUUUAGGAUGUUUUCUCAUGAUUUUCUUUUUUUAAUUCGGUUCAAAUACACAAAUUGACUUUUAUUUUCUUAUCUUAUGUUUUUUCUUUAUGUUUAUGAUAAGAAUGUACCUGCACUUGCCUUGUUUUUCUGACUUUUAUAUAUUUGGAAUAAAAGAUACUGUUUAGCUUGAUUUUAUUAUGACUCUAAGAGUUUUGGAUAAAGUUUUUCUUUUGAGGAAAACGAAAAUUAUACCUUACAUUCCAUAAUUAAAAUUAUAUUUUACAUUCCGUUACCUUACAUUCCGUAAUAAAAAAUUAUACCUUACAUUCCGUAAUAAAAAUUAUUCAUCUACUUUUGAAAGCUAUUUUAAUGACAUAUCUAAGAAACGUACGAAUAUAUAAUCCCAAGAUUUUAAGUUACAAUUUUACAAUAAUAUAUAUAAUUUUAUUUAUCACCCAAUAAUACAUUCUACAGUAGAUAUCGCUUGUGUGAUAUAUUUCAUAAGGAGAUAUCGCUUUACAUAAAUUUGAUUGGUCAGUUUAAAAGGAACUACUUUUUUUAUUUUCAAAGAACAGUUCAUUUCUUAUUAAAAGUAACUUUUUUAAAAUUAAAAAUGAACUAUUGUUAUUCAAUUGACCUUGAUGGAAAUACUGGGUCAAUAUAAAGGACUUUGCAAUGGUUGAAUUGUUGUCAAAAAAUGAUAUAUCACUACGCUGUAAUGUGCAGUAAAAGUAAAAUCUACAGCAAAGAAUUAUAUUUAUCUAUUUGUGCAUGUAAGAAGGGAUUGGGUGAUAAAUAAAAUCUCUGCCGAGUUUUUUUUUACUUUAUCUACGAAUGAUAUCAAAAAAGACUGGUAGGAGAUUCUCUAUAUCUUACACUCAUUUUUUGUGUUAUAUGCUUAGGUUUAAUAUUUGUGUUACCUGCUUAAAAUUGUCUUUUUUUUAUCUUGUCUUUGAUUAGAAUAAAAAUUUACUUCUGCGUAAA